CAGCAGCCGCGGUAAUACGGAGGGGGCUAGCGUUGUUCGGAAUUACUGGGCGUAAAGCGCACGUAGGCGGCAUGGUAAGUUAGAGGUGAAAGCCCGGAGCUCGACUCCGGAAUUGCCUUUAAGACUGCCGAGCUAGUAGGUGAGAGAGGUAAGUGGAAUUCCGAGUGUAGAGGUGAAAUUCGUAGAUAUUCGGAAGAACACCAGUGGCGAAGGCGGCUCACUGGCCCAUAACUGACGCUGAGGCACGAAAGCGUGGGGAGCAAACAGGAUUAGAUACCCCCGUAGUCCCUGUCUCUUAUAC
rnacentral:rRNA from 1 species